rnacentral:tRNA from 1 species
UAUAAGAUGCCUGAAUAAAGGGUAAUCUUGAUAGGAUUAAUUAUGUGAAUUUCACUCUUAUAA